rnacentral:rRNA from 1 species
UAUGAAGGCCAGGCUGAAGACUUUGUCCGGAGUUAGCUGAGAGGUGGUGCAUGGCCGUCGUCAGUUCGUACUGUGAAGCAUCCUGUUAAGUCAGGCAACGAGCGAGACCCACGCCCACAGUUGCCAGCGUACUCUCUGGAGUGACGGGUACACUGUGGGGACCGCCGCUGCUAAAGCGGAGGAAGGAAUGGGCAACGGUAGGUCAGUAUGCCCCGAAUAUCCCGGGCUACACGCGAGCUACAAUGGUUGGUACAAUGGGUAUCUACCCCGAAAGGGGACGGGAAUCUCCUAAAACCAAUCUUAGUUCGGAUUGAGGGCUGCAACUCGCCCUCAUGAAGCUGGAAUCCGUAGUAAUCGCGUUUCAACAGAACGCGGUGAAUACGUCCCUGCUCCUU